AUGAGUUCAAUGGGGUUAUCAAAAAAUUGUUUGAUGUUUAUGCUACUAGUGCGUGUGCAACAUCAAAGAAGAAAGGUGCUGAAAUGCAUGUGCAUCAACUUCAAAUUCAAUCUGAUCCUGUUCAUAAUACUGAUGAGUUUGAUGAUAUCUUUAAUGAGAAUGACAGUAGCCAUGAUCAUGAGCAACAUUUUCAAAGAUUUUUGCUUGAGAGAAGUCAGCCAAUUUGUAGUGAUAAAACCGAGUUACAAAUUUACAUGGAACAACCACUGUUACUAUGGACUUCCAAAGAUCCAUUUGAUAUUUUGUCUUGGUGGAAGCUCAAACAAGCAGAAUUUCCUAUCCUCUGCAAACUUGCUCGUGAUUUCUUAUGUAUUCAAGUGUCAACUGUUGCUUCUGAGUCGGCAUUUAGUGCUGGUGGCCGUGUUGUUGAUCCAUUUCGCACCCGUCUUGAUCCAGAGGCUGUGCAAGCUUUAGUUUGCACCAAAGAUUGGAUUAAAGCAGCUAACAAUGGUUAUAAGACUCAGGCUAUCAUCAAUGAGUUGGACAUUGAAAGCGUAGAGAGGCAUCUGGCAAACUUAUUGAUAGUGG